ACGAACCUGCGAAGGCAAGCGGAUCUCUUAAAGCCGUCUCAGUUCGGACUGUAGGCUGCAACUCGCCUACACGAAGCUGGAAUCGCUAGUAAUCGCGGAUCAGCACGCCGCGGUGAAUACGUUCCCGGGCCUUGUACACACCGCCCGUCACACCAUGAGAGUCUGUAACACCCAAAGCCGGUGGGAUAACCUUUAUAGGAGUCAGCCGUCUAAGGUAGGACAGAUGAUUAGGGUGAAGUCGUAACAAGGUAUC
rnacentral:rRNA from 1 species